rnacentral:rRNA from 1 species
UACGUAGGCAGCGAGCGUUGUUCGGAGUUACUGGGCGUAAAGCGUGCGUAGGCGGUCUUGUAAGUCUGGUGUGAAAUCUCCCGGCUCAACUGGGAGGGUGCGCCGGAAACUGCAAGGCUGGAGUAUGGGAGAGGUAGGCGGAAUUGACGGUGUAGCGGUGAAAUGCUUAGAUAUCGUCAAGAACACCGAUAGCGAAGGCAGCUUACUAGGCUGUAACUGACGCUGAGGCACGAAAGUGUGGGGAUCAAACAGG